UACGGAGGUUCCUAGCGUUGUUCGGAAUUACUGGGCGUAAAGGGAGCGCAGGCGGAUUGAUAAGUCUAAAGUGGAAUCCCGGGGCUCAACCUCGGACGUGCUUUGGAUACUGUCAGUCUUGAGUUCGUGAGAGGAAGGCGGAAUUCAGGGUGUAGCGGUGAAAUGCUUAGAUAUCCUGAGGAACACCAGUGGCGAAAGCGGCCUUCUGGCACGAAACUGACGCUGAGGCUCGAAAGCGUGGGUAGCGAACGGG
rnacentral:rRNA from 2 species